GAUGAACGCUGGCGGCGUGCCUAAUACAUGCAAGUCGAGCGAACAGACGAGGAGCUUGCUCCUCUGACGUUAGCGGCGGACGGGUGAGUAACACGUGGAUAACCUACCUAUAAGACUGGGAUAACUUCGGGAAACCGGAGCUAAUACCGGAUAAUAUAUUGAACCGCAUGGUUCAAUAGUGAAAGACGGUUUUGCUGUCACUUAUAGAUGGAUCCGCGCCGCAUUAGCUAGUUGAUAAGGUAACGGCUUACCAAGGCAACGAUGCGUAGCCGACCUGAGAGGGUGAUCGGCCACACUGGAACUGAGACACGGUCCAGACUCCUACGGGAGGCAGCAGUAGGGAAUCUUCCGCAAUGGGCGAAAGCUUGACGGAGCAACGCCGCGUGAGUGAUGAAGGUCUUCGGAUCGUAAAACUCUGUUAUUAGGGAAGAACAAAUGUGUAAGUAACUAUGCACGUCUUGACGGUACCUAAUCGGAAAGCCACGGCUAACUACGUG
rnacentral:rRNA from 1 species